GGGAAGAUGGGGUCGGUGUUGACGCAGCCGGGCUUGAUGAUGUCAGCCCACCGGCGGCCCUCGGCCCAGCCGAUGAGGAUGAGCUCGAUGAUGAAGAGGGUGGUGGUGUCGGUGAAGUAUUGCUGCUCGCCGGCGGUGUACCACGACGGCGUGUUGAGGAUGCCGAUCUUGGUCAGGAACUCCGGGAUGAAGAUGCCCGCCGCGCCCAGCAUCGCCCACCGGCAGUGCACCAGCUCCGCCUGCACGUUCCACCGCAAGCUCUCCGGGUCCGAUCCGAGACCCAGGGGGUCGAAGCCGAAGUCGCCGGGGAGGCUGCCGUCGAGCCACGGCGGCGGGGUGCUGCCGGGGAACCAGAUUGGCCUGUCGGGCGCCGCGGCGCGCACGGCGAACGACGCCCGCGCGGACGACGACUCGGCCUGCCUCAGCAGCAGCCUGCCGCUCCUGCCGGCGCCGCCGAGGAAGGAGGAGGCCCUGGCGGCGCCGGGGAGCGCCGCGACGGCGGUGGUGGAGGAGGAGGCGGAGACGAGCGCCAUUGGUGCGUCGUGUCGUGUGCG
rnacentral:misc_RNA from 1 species